UCCAAUGUGGUGUAGUGGCUAACAUUGCUGUCUUUCAAAUUUCAUACUUUGACUACACAGCAGCCCGGGGUUCGAUUCCCCGCAUUGGAA